AGAAGGAGGCAUCCGACAGAUGGUAACCCAUGAUUAGCCCAUGGUUGGAUCGACUGGCUAUAAUCCUGCUUAGAUAUUAACAAUGCCGCUAGGUAGAAAGGAGGUGGAGAACAGGCUCGAUGGCCAUUCAACUUCAGGAAGAUAGAAGAGAGAUGAGGAAGGAAGAGGGUCUAAAUAAUGGAGGAAGAAGAGAGAUCCAACGACUAUCAGACUUUAGAAAAAGAAAACCAGAGAAAGAAGAAAGAGGAUCUCCUUUCUACCCCGAUGCUGGAAGGGUAGAAAGGAAGGUAGAGGAACAAGAGAGACAUGGAGGGGGGUAAGAGAGCCAGUCGGCCAUAUUUAGAGAUGGAAGAGGUGAAUGUUGGCAGCAAUCCGAUCGCGAUAUAUGGGGAGAAAUCACUCUAU
rnacentral:lncRNA from 1 species